GUAGGUGGCAAGCGUUGUCCGGAAUUAUUGGGCGUAAAGGCGCGCGCAGGUGGUUCUUUAAGUCUGAUGUGAAAGACCCCCGGGCUCAACCGGGGAGGGUCAUUGGAAACUGGGGAACUUGAGUGCAGGAGAGGAAAGUGGAAUUCCACGUGUAGCGGUGAAAUGCGUAGAUAUGUGGAGGAACACCAGUGGCGAAGGCGACUUUCUGGCCUGUAACUGACACUGAGGCGCGAAAGCGUGGGGAGCAAACAGGAUUAGAUACCCUGGUAGUCCACGCCGUAAACGAUGAGUGCUAAGUGUUGGGGGGGUUUCCGCCCCUCAGUGCUGCAGCUAACGCAUUAAGCACUCCGCCUGGGGGAGUACGGUCGCAAAGACUG
rnacentral:rRNA from 1 species